GAUGAAGAACGCAGCGAAAUGCGAUAAGUAAUGUGAAUUGCAGAAUUCAGUGAAUCAUCGAAUCUUUGAACGCACAUUGCGCCCGCUAGUAUUCUGGCGGGCAUGCCUGUUCGAGCGUCAUUUCAACCAUCAAGCCCUAGGCUUGCGUUGGAGCCCUGCGGCUGCCGCAGGCUCCCAAAUCCAGUGGCGGGCUCGUCGUCGUACCGAGUGCAGUAAACAUCCUCGCUCAGGGAACGUGACGGGUUCUUGCCGUGAAACCCCCCACAUAUCAAGGUUGACCUCGGAGCAGGUAGGAAUACCCGCUGAACUUAAGCAUAUCAAUAAGCGGAGGA
rnacentral:misc_RNA from 1 species